rnacentral:snoRNA from 1 species
GCCUUUGAUGACAUGAUAGUUUCAGAACUGGCACAAGUUGUUGUUGCCAGAUCAAUGUUGAUAUUGCUCAAGAACUAGGACGGUCUGAGGC